CUCACUCUGUAGACCAGGCUGUCCUCGAACUCACAGAGAUCCGCCUGCCUCUGCCUCCUGAGUGCUGGGAUCAAAGAUGUGUGCCACCACCGCCCAACCGUAUUGUUGCUUUUCAAGCUGUGUUCUGAGACCCUUUUAAGCUGGGGGGGGGAGGGGGGGUAUUAAAGAAGAGGUGUUCUGCCCAAACCGCUUUGGCCCCCUCAUCCUCUCAAACCCCAUCUGCUCUCCCUUGGAGUGCCCCCUCACUGACCCACCCACCUAGGAAGGCUUUGAAAUCUCCCGGAAAGGCCUGCUAAUAAAGACAGCCUACAAAAGCAGUGUUCUUCCCAGAGCAAAGGGCCUCAGGUACCUCUUGUCCGGCAGGUCCCACUCAGAAGGAAGGGACACAGUCAGGAAGAUCCAUGAGGUACUCUGGGAAGGACCAACGGCAUGGCCUCCGGAGGGACCAGAAUCUGGCUAGUGUCUCCUCUGGCAUCCUCACAUGUCGUGGCCCAUCUAUCCUCGGGUUCCUUCGAUUUCCCUCUCUCUUCCUCACCUGUUGUCUGUCUCUGGCUCCAUCCUAACAUGCCUGUGACAAUCAUCUGAAGGCUUUCCUCCUAAGAGAGCCCAGGAGAGAAGGGAGGGACAAGGUGGGACCCACCAAGGAUAUUGGGCUGCAUGUCCUUGCCCUCCACCUCACCAGCUGGACAGGCUGCCUAGCACAGCACUGAUCCUCACCUGCCUAUGGCCCCCUCCUCAUUCUGGGAGUGUGGAGGAAAGCCCCCCACCCCACCCCAGUCUGCUGGCUGAAGCCUGGGACCCUCCUCUGCCAGGACCCCACCAGGCUGGGCCCGGCUUGGCUGCCGGCCUGGGCUGCCGUAUCGAUUAUCUUGGCUCCUUUUUGCUGGGGAUAUCAAUCUAGCGGGUUCCCGGGAUGGCUGUGUUUUAACCUCUCACCCUGGUCUAGACUCUGUCGGCUCCUGCUGUCCCUCAGCCAGGAGGAGAUGGAGGCCCCGGGCCUCUUGGGCAGGCUCUGGAGCCAGCGGAUUUCCAGGAACCGAAGCUGGGAUCGCCUGGCGGCUCCGCAGCCCGCCAACCUGCCUCUCUCCAAACCGGCCGGUGAAUUAUUAAAGAUGCAAUUUCCUCUCAUCUUUCCAGUAAAAUUGCUCCCUGUGCCGUGCAUUGCUGCCUUCCUGUCACCGGCCAGCUGGGGUCUUGGCGAACUGUCAUUCACCCCAGAGUAGGGCACAGGGAACUGCGAGUCUUAGAAAUAGUGGUGCCCACUGUUUCACAACACCGGAGAAGGAAGUUCAGAGAAAUUCAGCAACCACGGUAGCUCAGCAAGCUACCAGCAGAGCUGGGCUGGGACCCUAUGUUCCAAACAGGGCUUCCUUUCCCCUGUACCAGGGAAGCCUGGAGAGUCCCCGCACAGUUACUCAGGGCUACUGGCACGUUCGCUCCCUAGUGAGAGUUGGGUCGAGUUCUCUGUAUAUCGAUCAAGUCUCCAAGUGUGAUUUACAGUCUUUGCUUGUUAUUUACCACCAGGUCCCCCACCGCAGCCGCUUAGCUAGGUAAAGCCGUCAUUGUUAGUGCCCUCUGGUCGGUAUUUAUUGUUUUGGGUUUUGCUGUUUACUGUUGGUGGUCAUAACAGGGGGGCUGGGAGCAGCCGCUCCAUGUAUGUUCUCUGUGACUUCGUGGCCGGGCUCCCCUCCUGAUACUGUUCCUCAAAGCCCUGCUCCAACUGGCCUUCCGUGGUUCCCCAUUCCCUGGGGAUCCCCAAGGGAAGUCUGAGUGCCUUACUGCUCUUCAGCCAAUGUCACAGGCAUGGGUGUUGGGCGUGUAUGGGGGUCUCAGAAGGGUGAAUUGAUGUCUACGGAAACAGCACUGCUAUGCCUGGCUCAGAGCUGACAUUCUGAAAGCUCCCAACACACCUUUGGCCCCUAGGUUCAAGGGUCAAAGUCUGCCCAAGCACCAGUUCUCUCAACCCAGGCAGGCGGAACCCGAAGGGGUCUUUGAGGUCACAACUGCCCUCCACUCAACUUGGCCUCCGUCCUCUGCCUCAGGCCGGCCCCCAGUAGGGAGCAGAUCCCAAGCUCCGCCAUAGCGCAACAGAAAACCUCUGGCCAGAGUCGCUCAAACUCCGGUGGGCAAAGCUGCGGCUGGCGGGCACUCUCGCUGUACCUGCCCGUGAAGGAAAGCCGCUCCAGGCCUCGCCCAGGCUUGCUCCAGAUGAAGCCACCCUGGCCGCUACCCCCACUCCCAUCACCAGCUCCUUAGUCCUUUUCUCUCUCCCACAAGCCUCCCUCACUCCCUCUACAUUAACCCCUGGCGGGGGACAGCAGGUUGAAAGACGCCUCUGAGGGCGCCCUGUGCUUGGCUCCUUGGCCUCCAUAAGGGGUAGUGUGGUGCUGAGGUUAGGACUCUGGCCCUCACUGGCCCAGCGGGCCACUUCAGGCAGGUGCAGAAACUUCUCUGUGCCUUUCUCACCAACAUCUGCAAAGGAUCGCUCAGGACAUAGCGGCCGCUGGAGAGGAGCGCUGUGAGUGUGAAAGGAGCCACUUCCACACACAACUCCAGAAAAUGAAAACAAAUCUGUGACGGCAGAAAAUGGGUCAGUGGUCUCCUGGGCAUGGGACAAGGGGCAGGCAGAAGAGUCGUCAACAGGAAAUCUGAGCGGGGUCCUGGGAGGGCACAUCUUCAAUCCCAGCACUCCGGAGGCAGAGGCAGGUGCAUUCUAGGACAGCCAGGGCUUCACAGAGAAACUCUGUCUCAAAAAACCAAAAAGAAGAAGAGGAGGAGGAGGAAGAAGAAAAGAUUGAUUCAUUCUCUUAAUUGUAGUGAUGGUUUUACAGUAUUUCCAUGUGCCAAAACAUAUCAUAUUGUAUCAUUUGUUUUUCCUUUUAUCAUCAGAUCUCAAUUGUACAAAAUAAAAAAUGGAUUUCCAGCUCAGAAGAUGGCUCAGCAAGGAAGGACACUUGCUGUACAAGUAUGAGGAUCUGAGUUCAAAUCCCCAGAAGCCAUGGGGAAAACUGGACGUGGAGCACACAUGCCUGUAACCCCAGUGUUGUUGGGGAGGGAAUAGGAGGAUCAGCCUAGCUCCAGGUUCAGUGAGAAUCCCUGUCUCGAGAGAAUUAGGCAGACAGAGAGAUAGUGACACCUGACACCCUCCUCUGGCCUUCAUAAACAAGCAUUCCUACCCCACCCCCACACACAUACAAACAAAUAGGUUUCAUCACGAUAUUUCUAUACACUGUGUACUUUAAAUAUGUGCAAUUUAUUGUAUGUCAACUAGACCUCAAAAGCCUAGACCUAUGUGAAUAAGAAAUGCGUGGGGUCAUUGCUUGCAUUCUCAGCUGCCACCUGUCCCACAACCAGGGCUCCUCCUCUCCUGAGUGUGAGCUCCCUGGGGUUCCUAAAAGCUUCCAGGCUGCCAAUGCUGUGUCUGGGUAGCCACAUGUGUGCAUGUCACCAGAUUCUGGGAUUCUUCUGGGAAAUUAACUAAAUAGCCACUGUCUCAGCCAGGCCACAUUCCAGAUCAUCACAGCUGCCCACUUCCAGGAAUUAAAGGGUUAAAGCCAGGCCCUCAAGUGCCUCUGGUGGGUUGGUUUUGCAUGUUAAAUGUUCUAAGCAUCAGGGAGUUUUAAGCUACUUCCAUCUAUGCCCAGGCCACAAUCAUCCGAGUAACCUUGGCUAACUGGCAAAGUCUAUACUCCAAAGUCUCAGUGUCUAGUAAUGCCAUUGUCUCUGUGCCUGGCCACAGCUGGGGACUCAGCCCCAGAGGAUGUUAGAGAUUCUCAGAGAUGUCCUAGCCUGUGUCUUCCAGGAAUAGUGCUCUGCCACCCUCCCCAGGAGCCAUGGUGGAGUAGGACAACACUUGGCAUGGUUACAAUGCAUACCUAGGCAGAGGUUAGAAUAGGAUUUCCUUGGCUCUGGUCGUAUAUUUUCUCCUCCUUGACAUGCUCAAAGGUCUUGAGGAGAGAGGGGCAGGGGAGAACAUUUUACAGAACAAAGAGGUGUGAGUCCAUGUCAUAAGCCGGCCUGAGGGCAGUGAUCAGGGUGGUUCAGUCUAGACAGGAGUCUGGGUCCUCCUGGUUCCUGAUUUUUCUCAAAAUACCUCUGUCUUGAGUAUGGAGUCCUCAUUCUGUCCUUCUCUGUGAUAUAUCCCCUCUUCCUGGUUCUUGCAACACCUCCCCCAAAAAUCAACACCUCAGGCUAGAGUUGUCCUUGACCCUUCCUAGAACACGAGUGUCCUACCUUCUUGGGAAUUCCCCACAAUGGGUAAGAACCCACAGUUACAGCCUUAGUAGUAGCCUCAGAAUGGUCCAUCAGAAUGGAUGAGGCCAGCAAUAUGCCCAGUGUAGGAAAUGACCUUGUCACGGCUGACCACCAGGGAACAUUACUGAGAAAGCCAAGAAGCUGCCGGCCAUCUCAGAAUCCUGGGACAGCCACAGAGUCGGGCUCCAGGUCUGCAGGAGGGCCUAGGCCAGGCGGGAAUGGAUUUAAGCAUGUAAAAGUACGAGGGGAAAAAAACAUGUGAGAGAGAAUCCUGUGUGAGAGAGAAGGAGACUUCUGUGUGAGAGAGAAGGAGACUUCUGUGUGAGAGAGAAUUCUGUGUGAGAGAGAGAAUUCUGUGUGAGAGAGAGAAUUCUGUGUAAGAGAGACUUCUGUGUGUGAGAGAAUUCUGUAUGCAAAGAGAAUUCUAUGUGUGAGAGAAUUCUAUGUAAGAGGGAAUUCUGUGUGUGAGAGAAUUCUGUAUGCAGAGAAUUCUGUGUGAGAGAGAAUUCUGUGUGUAAGAGGAAGAAUGACUGCGGGUGUGUCUGAGAAACAAAGAUAACUCUGAGAAGUUUAUGGGAGGGAAACUGUAAGUUCAUGAAAGCAAUGUUCAUGAACUUUGAACUUCGAAACACUGUUCAUGAAUAAAUGUCCCUUCUGCAGGUCUGUGUUUUGGGGUGUCCAUGCCAGACUGUCAGAGCCUCUCUCACAGUCCCCAGACCCAGAGAGAGACCUGGGGCAGGCUGUACAGGAGAAGGUCCCCCAUAACUUCUGACCUUUUGGAGGGACUUGUGGCUCCUUUCUGUCGUCCAUCAUAUCAAAGUGGUGGAGUCGGGUUUGAGGACCCCACAUGCUCAUCUGCCACCGCCUGGGCCUCACCUGGUGCUCUCAGAAGCAAGACUCACAAAUAUGUCACUCAGAUGAUAGAAUGGCUUUCCUGUCAGCAGCUGAGAGGGCCAGCAGAAAGCCCUCUGGUGAGUGACAGCCACCUCAACAUAUCUGUGGAGAAUACCUUGGAGCACUCUGGGCACUGGUCCCAUCCAUGCUCAGGCCAGGCAAGACAGAUCCUCUCUCCAGGUGCCCCAGCAGUUGGUGAACUGGUGUGUGGCAGGGCAAGGCUGAUAUACAGUCAGCAACGCUCAUACUCAGGCCUUUGGACCUUUUGAAGGUCUCAGAAUCCUUUGAGAAACUGAGGAAAGCAUGUGUCCCUUUUCUAAAGAAAUGAGUCCACACUUGCAGAUGUCUUCUCUAAUCUUAGAAGCUUCCUGAGUUCCUGCCUCAGUUUGCUGUGGAUCUCCAGGCCCCAGGGAAAUGCACCAGAGCCACUGGAACCAAGGUAACCUGAAAUUGCCUGAAAGUCCCCAUCCCCAACCCCAGAUGAUCCAGAGCUCAGUUUAUGGAAAACAAUAUAGAAGCAUGUGCCUGUAAUCUCAGGAAGCAGACAGACAGGAGGAUAGAGAGCUAGAGGCCAACCUGAGCUACAUGGUGAGACCAUGUUUAGAUAGAUAGAUAGAUAAAUAGACAGACCGAUAGAUGUAAAUAGAUAGAUAGAUUAUAGAUAGGUAGAUAGGUAGGUAGGUAGGUAGAUAGAUAGAAGUAGGUAGAUAGAUAGAUAGAUAGAUAGAUAGAUAGAUAGAUAGAUAGAUAGAUAGAUAGACAGAUAGAUGUAGGUAGGUAGGUGGAUGGAUGGAUGUAUGGAUAGAUGGAUGGGUGGGCGGGCGGGCUGACUGAUGGACGGACAGACAGACAGAUAGAUAGACAGACUGACCCCAUAAGGAACCACUGAGGCACUUGCCUGGCAUGCACAGGGCUCUUGGUUAGAUUCUCUAGCACAACAAAAAGAAGCUAAGUACCCUGAAGAAUGAAGUAUCCCCUCCCUACCUUUAAUGGGGUGGUGGGUGGUGGUGGUGGUACCAAGCAGGGGAUUCCAAGUGAAUCCUUUAUAGUCUGACCUUCAGCCAUAAGCAACUUUGGGACCUGAGGCUUUGUUUAAUCAAUGUUCUAUUGCCUACAUUCUGUUGAGACACACAUUAAGUCACGCAUGAGUAUAUGAUUAGUACACGGAAUGGACACAUAGACAUGUUCUCUGCCUUUGUAUUGCCAGAAAAGUAACAAGGAAACACAUAAAUCCGUGUAUGUAUUUCUGUGAGGUGUAGAGUCUAACAAAACCCCGAAGACUCUGGUUUCUGCAUCCAUACAUGAAGGUCAUUUCAUCAUUGCUUCUGCUUCUGUGAGAAGUGAGACAAGCUAUGCUAAGCAUGAAACACACAACGGGUGUAGCUCUCAACACCCAGGAACAGCAGAAAGGAGGGAAGGAGCAGGCCUGGCCUCUCUCGACUGACAGAGGUUUCGUGUAACCUGAGAGCUACUGAGCUGACCCACCUGGCCCCUGAACCUGGAGGGGAAGCCAGUCUACAAGCACCCUUCAAGCCAUGGGCAUCAUUUAGACAGCAGUCAAGCUUAGAUGAUGGGAAAGAAGAGGUCCAGAGUAGGAGGAGGCUUCAGUCAGGGCUGAGGAGGGUACCUUGGAUGACCAAACUAGAGAGAGAGAGAAUAAGGAGAAGGGAGACUUCAAAUAUCUGCAAAGAAAGAAGAAAAAGGAUUAGAUGUUUAAGGUCAUCCUUGGCUACAUAGCAACUUUGCGGCCAGCCUGGGCUACAAGAAACACUCUCUUGAGAAAAACUACAAAUUAGGAAUAGAACAGCCUUCACAAAGAUUUAUCAUCUUGGAUUCAAGUGAGCUGACUGCCCUCUUCCUUCCUUCCAAAAGCAAGAACAGUAAACCUCUGUCAUCCAGGAUCUCAACUGUGUCUACGGUUUUUCCAGGUGAAUCAGACAGGGCAAGAGAAUGGACUUUGGACUACAGCUUGGUAGGAUCCUGCACCUGCCUCCCGGACUAAACCAUGGGCUUCUCUGAACCAGUUUUGUCAUCUUUAAGAAAGAAACAAAAUGGUGCAGUGUCAUCAUGAGGAUUCAGCAGGUAUGUGUUCCCGAUACCUGCGCUGCUGAAAGGCUGGUGAGAGGACAAAUGGCCAGACCCAGGGAAAGCAGCCUCUCCUGGUCUCUCCCCCACACAAGUGUUUCCACCCUUACUUCCAGGCCCUCCAUCUUCCCUAGCCAAGGCAAGGCCUCCCCUCCUCCCCCAGGGGUACAGUGUGACUUCUCCUGGGAAGACACAAACAUCUUUUCACUACAGAUAGGGCACUGGAAAACCAACCAAAGAAAUGAUCACACCCAAGUAUUGAUGAAAUUAUUAAGGCCACUCCACGUUGUUAAAAGGGAGGUUUAUUAGUGGCGUAACUUACAAAUGAAGGGAUAGGUAGGUUGCAGGGUCUGGGGAAGGUGUGUCACAGUCCGGCGGUGUUCUCUGGAGAACUCUGCUUGGUCUACCUCCAGCGUCCAGGGUCCAGGAACAGAAAGCGCGGCGCAUCUGGAUCUUGGGUCUUCAGGGCCCUCUCUUGGCCCCACCUUGUAGGCGUGAGAGUUACCGAAGCCUCAAUGGGGGUUGGAACUUCCAGAUCAAAGCUGGAAUGGCUACUCACUACACCCAAGUCCGACUUGGUGAACUUUUAUUUAUUUAUUGGGGGCUGCUUAAAGGAGCAUGUAUGGUUCAAAGGAGGCUGAAUCCCGCCCCCCGCCCCCCAAAAAAACAGCAUUAAGUAAUGACUUCGGUUCUGUAAGACAAAGGGGGUUAGGGUUCUUACAGGUCUCUAGAAAGAGAUGGGGGAGGGUUCCUGUUAUCUAGACUACACGCUCAAAGUGGCAAGGAGGAAGACCCUAGAUAUAAUUCAAGAUUGUCUUAAGCCUGACAUCCGAGGGAGCUGGGCUUUGCUCACAGCUGUAAAGGGGAGGGAAGGGACUCUGAAAACUGUAAGGUCCUAGCAGCUCUCCGUAGCUGGCCUUGAGAGUCUGCGGGGUGGUGGCCUGAUUUGGGAGAGAAAAAGAAAGCCAGCUAGAGGAUCUGUGGAUCUAACACCUGUAUCUUGCCUCUACUAUUUAAAAUAGCUUCUAUAUUGCCAUCACUGUUAGUUUGAAUCUCUGAGUUACGGUUUCAAAGUGAAAUGUUUCCCACAGACUCCUGUUUUGAGUACUUGGCCCCCACUUGGUGGCACUAUUUUGGGAGGUUUUGGAGAUUUGGGAAGAUGGGAAGACCUAUCUGAAGGAAGUGGGUUUCUAGGGUGUGUCCUGGGGAUAUAGUAUUCCUGAGCAUUUCCUCUUGUUCUCUCUGCUUCCGGGCCCACCAACAUGUGAACUCAGCUACUUCACCAUGCCCUCCCCUGCCAUGAUGGACUGAACCCUUUGAAGCUGUGAGUCAAGUCAACCUCUUCAUCCCUAAGUCAUCCAUGCCAGGUGAUUCUGAUCCUGCAAUGGAAAAGUAACUAGUGAACACAGCUGUCCUUCGUGGGAUGUUUUCUUAGCCCUGGCUUUGCCAGCAAAGAUACUGAGAAGACCAAGACCCCACGCUGGUGGACUUGGGAAGAGAUAUACAGAAGCAAGCACCAAACUCACCUGGGUUGCUGAGUGUACCUAGGACAGGCAUAAAGGGUCAAAACAGAAGGACUGUUUUACACGAGAGGCCACUAAGGUCUCUCUGGUAAGGUAACGGGCACAGCUCUGAAGGAGAGGGUGGUAAAAGUCAUAAAGGGGUGUGUGUGUGUGUGUGUGUGUGUGUGCACGUGUGAAGGAGAGAGGGUAGUAAGAGUCAUGAGGAUGUGUGUGUGUGUGUGUGUGUGUGUGUGUGUGUGUGUGUGUGUCUGUCUGUCUGUCUGUCUGAAGGAGAAGGUGGUAAGAGCCAUGAGGAUAUGUGUGUGUGUGUGUGAAGGAGAAGGUGAUAAGAGCCAUGAGGAUGUGUGUGUGUGUGUGUGUGUGUGUGUGUGUGUGUGUGUGUGUGUAGAAGGUGGUAAGAGCCAUGAGGAUAUAUGUGUGUGUGUGUUUGUGUGUGUGUGUGUGUGACGGAGAAGGUGAUAAGAACCAUGAGGAUAUGUGUGUGUGUGCAUGUGCAUGUGCGUGCAUGCGUGCGUGCGUGCGUGCGUGUGUGCGUGUGUGUGUGUGUGUGUGUGUGAAGGAGAGGGUGGUAAGAGCCAUGAGAAUAUUGUGGGGGGGUCCCUUAGAGCCUUCAGAAGAGAAUUUAUUAUGCUUGGCAAAGUAGGAGAUGAUGUUUGUGUUUAUUUGGUUUCAAAAGCAAAUUGUCUCAUGAGAUUUAAUAAUAUAAAUCAAAGCUUUAAGAUAUGCAUUCUCUGACCCACAAGUCCACUUAGGAAUUCAGCCACUGGAAAAAUAAUGUACACAUGUAUUUAUGUAUAAGGAUCUUGAUUAGGGAAAACUUUUUUAAAAAGAAAUAAAGAUAAAUGUUCAACAAUGGGGAAAUGGUUAAUUUAAUUAAGGUUAUCCAUACCACUCAAAGGUGUAUUACCUUAACAGCCUUUGGCCAAGGUCAAGUAUAACACCAUGGAUGUAGGAAAAUGUGUACUACCAAUUGUUAAGUCAUAAUCUACACCUAAUAAAAUGCCAUUUUUGUAAAGGAAAGCUAUAUUGAUGUGUAGAACAUAUAUAAAUAUCAAAUUGUGGACAGUAAUGAUUAAUAAAUGAAGAAAUUACAGUUAA